AUUGAACGCUGGCGGCAUGCUUUACACAUGCAAGUCGAACGGUAACAGGCCGCAAGGUGCUGACGAGUGGCGAACGGGUGAGUAAUGCAUCGGAACGUGCCCAGUCGUGGGGGAUAACGCAGCGAAAGCUGCGCUAAUACCGCAUACGAUCUAUGGAUGAAAGCGGGGGACCGUAAGGCCUCGCGCGAUUGGAGCGGCCGAUGUCAGAUUAGGUAGUUGGUGAGGUAAAGGCUCACCAAGCCAACGAUCUGUAGCUGGUCUGAGAGGACGACCAGCCACACUGGGACUGAGACACGGCCCAGACUCCUACGGGAGGCAGCAGUGGGGAAUUUUGGACAAUGGGCGCAAGCCUGAUCCAGCAAUGCCGCGUGCAGGAAGAAGGCCUUCGGGUUGUAAACUGCUUUUGUACGGAACGAAACGGCUCUCACUAAUACUGGGGGCUAAUGACGGUACCGUAAGAAUAAGCACCGGCUAACUACGUGCCAGCCGCCGCCGUAAAAC
rnacentral:rRNA from 1 species